ensembl:lincRNA Gm20619 predicted gene 20619
GAACUUUGACCUUUGCAACGGCACAUUCAGUGUCUCCUCUUUGAAAGGAGGGAUCGAGCAGCGUUCACUCACUCUGCACUCCCAUCGAAACCACAGGCUCCAGCUCUCUGUGCUAUCUGUGGCUAUAUAGCCUGCUCACAGGAUCUAGGUCCCGUGUCACUGGAAACUGCCAACAGAGAGAGGAAAGACAGAAGCAGCUGCUUAAAAGCCAAGCACGGGGUUUGGAAGUUGUCUCUAAGAUGGCAACAGGCUCUUGGGAUCAGACAAAUCAGCUCCUUUGGAGAAAAAAGCCUUCUGCUCAGACACGGCAGGGAUAAAAUACCGAGGAGGAACGUCAUAGCUCAGAGCGCAAGUGUGACUAUUUCCCCACCAGCCCAACCCACUGCUCAAGGAACCACGGGAGGCCUGACCCCGGUGCAAGGCCACAUGGAAAAGCUGGCAAAACAGCCUGCCAUCGGCAGAGCACAGGAAGCGGUUUGCUCUGUGGCUACACCACCCAUGUGUUACACAAUGUGAUACGACGGGGGAGAAGUGGCUUUCUUCCUCUUCCAAAUUAAAAUAGCCUUUCCUUAACGAAUUAA